AACGACGCUGGCGGCAGGCCUAACACAUGCAGGUCGAGCGAGACCUUCGGGGUCUAGCGGCGGACGGGUGAGUAACGCGUGGGAACGUGCCCUUUGGUACGGAAUAGCCCCGGGAAACUGGGAGUAAUACCGUAUAAGCUCUUCGGAGGAAAGAUUUAUCGCCAAAGGAUCGGCCCGCGUUGGAUUAGGUAGUUGGUGGGGUAAUGGCCUACCAAGACUACGAUCUAUAGCUGGUUUGAGAAGAUGACCAGCCACAUUGGGACUGAGACACGGCCCAAACUCCUACGGGAGGCAGCAGUGGGGAAUAUUGGGCAAUGGGCGAAAGCCUGACCCAGCCAUGCCGCGUGAGUGAUGAAGGCCUUAGGGUUGUAAAGCUCUUUCAGGGGGGAAGAUAAUGACGGUACCCUCAGAAGAAGCUCCGGCUAACUUCGUG
rnacentral:rRNA from 1 species